rnacentral:lncRNA from 1 species
CCCUCCGUAGCGUGGCUGAAUUGCCACUAAAGCUCAUUUUCUGCCGAAGCAGGUUUUCCAGCGUUGUCAACCAUUAUUGAUGUGCUGUAAAUUUUCAAGAAAAAUACAGAUGGCAACAUAUACCCUACUCCCUCCCUCUUAGUAACAUGUGCAUGAUUAAAAUAAACAUGUUAUGUGUAUGCUUGUUGGUUCAUUGUGAUGUACAGCUACUAUGAUCUAUGCUAAGUAUGUUAUCCAAAUUAUGUUCCAUGUCUGGCUAGUAUGACUCUAUGGUCCCAAAGUAUGUUAUCCAAAUUAUGUUCCAAGCCCUAGCACGUAUGCAGAAGGUGUGCAGCUUCGUAUACUUAGUCAAUUCAUAUUUCAGACCUAGGCACAUAUGCAGAAGGUGUGCAGCUUCCAAGACAUAAUAUCAAAUUCCCAAAUCCCUUCAAGAGAUAAUAUAAAUCAUGAUUUUUCUCAAGUGGUAAAGUAUAACAUUUCCCAAAUCCUAAUCAUGCUUUCAUGCUUCGAUAAAAUGUUCUAAGAUCAUGUAGUGAGAAAUUAUAGGUCUGCGAAGUACCUGGAUCACCACUAGUUAGUGGGUUACCUUCGUUACAUUACGACUAUUAUAUUCUGCGCUGAGAUAAUGUAGAGUUCCUGCGCUGCAUCAGCAUACUGCAUCAGCGCAGUUGGUGAACUGCCCUCUCCCUCCCUGCGCAGUCUUGUGAUAAAACAAGCCAUGUAGCAUCAUAUCGCAUGUUGAAUCCUAGGCUGAUGGCUCCACUUGACAUCUUCCCAAUCGGCCCAAUCGUCUUGAUAGUCUCCAGAUUCUUGCCGAAUCAAUAGUAGCUAGCAACUAGAAACCAGGUCUUCGAUAGAAUCUCACUAGGCUCCCUUAAUAAUUUUCUUAAGCACUCGAGUUUUACUUGAUAUUCCUUGCACAAAAAUCAAACAACGAAAAGAGAGAUUACAAACAAAGCAAGCGAUUGAGGUUAUGGAAUUGAUUCCAGUAUGAAAAUAAAUUAGAAAAACACUAACAAAUGGAUGCACUCCCCAACAAAUUAGGCUGAGCCAUGGCUCUCAAGAUUUUCCCGUAGCAUUCCUAAAUUUUGAUUCGUGAAUGUGCUUAUCUCCCAAUCAUCAUUGAUCUUAUUCCAACAAUCAUGCAAACAAGUUUAGUAGAUCAUCAGGUUUUAUCAACUCAAGAAUUAAAUGAAACCCCAACACAACAUGCUUCGAUUCUUAGAGAUUCAGGGGAUGGAAUUGAGAAUUUCAUACUACUGACAUAGCAAGCCAUACAUUGAGUAAAGGAACAAAUCACAGGCAUAGUUCUAUAGCACGAUCUGCCAGGAACAAAGUUAAGC